ensembl:ncRNA asRNA:CR45518 antisense RNA:CR45518
ACCAAACAGGCCAGCUUGCACAGGCCCGGCAUGCUGAGCAGGUAUUUGCGAUCGUAGUCCUGGGUUCCCGUCAACGACAUCGCGGCCAAUACAAGAUAUAUACGUUUUGGAUGCAGUUAAUCCAGAUUGUCCAGCCGAAUAGAUGCCUCAGAAACGAGCGAUUAAAGCCAAUGUAGCAAAUGUAGCGAAGCGCCGCUGACUAAUUCAUAUUGCGCUCGCCAGCACGCACAGAAUGCCACUGAAGUAAUACAAACAACACAAAUACUCAGAAUUCUCCCAUCGUUACACUCGGCGAAUAAAACUACAAUUGCGAGAGCGAGAGAAGCAGCGGGCGAAAGAGAGAGAGAGAGAGAGAGAGAGAGAGAGAGACAGAGAGCGAGCAACACAUGGCACAGUGGGACGAAACGAUCAGGAAAUGUAGUACAUAUUGUGUACAAAUUGUGUUAUCUACUCAAAUGGUAUCUAAUGAAACUAUAAAUAUUAAGGAGAUUAGCUUUAGCUGGGUAUU